GGGGGAGUAGCUCAGUUGGGAGAGCGUUGCCCUUGCAAGGCAAAGGCCGCCGGAUCGUAGCCGGUCUCCUCCA
rnacentral:tRNA from 1 species